UUAUUUGGCAGCAUCUGGGAGCGAGCAGACAGAUGGGAAGAUACUCCUUAUUGAAUCUUUGCAUAAGCUUCAUUUAAGAAAAAUAGAACUAGGGUGGGGAAAAACAUUGCAUUUUAUUCAAUAUAUACUGGAAGAAAAAAAAAGAUCAGCACUAGGUGUCACCCAACUUCCCUGGGUAUUACAGAGAUCACCUGCAGAUUAUUUUCCUGAAGCCUCCCAUCGCUGCUGAGCAGAAGGCCUGAAGUGGAGAUGACUGGGGUGCCUUGGUGCGGGAUCUUCUGUGUGUUAUGCACCCUGAUUUGAGACUUCCAGCUGAUAGUUUGAGCCAAAAGCCAA